ensembl:lncRNA
CUGCACUUCUCCAUUUCCAGAACGUGACCUGAAUGUGAGCUAGACAUUUGUUUUCCUAAACCCAUGAGGAUUCUGUCCACUCUCCGCGGGCUCUGUCUCCCCUCCGCCCCCGCGAAGGAGUCAGGACACACUCCCGGUUGUCGCCUUCCCUCAAUCUGUAUGAUUCCCGGCACCUGCCAUUCCACCUCCUUUUCUGUAGAAGUUGGCGUUCGCCUCGGGGCUUCACUCUUGACACUGCUACUAAUUCAUCACUUUAUAUUCGCGAUUGCCCUUCCGAAAGGAGAAUCUUGUUUCAAAAUUGCACCUGGGCAUUUUAAAGUAAAUAUGAUGCAAAUACUCAGUUGCCUCGGGUGGCCAUUAACUCCAGACCGAAGAAUGAAUAUGUAAGACUGGGCUGGGGGUGGGGGUGUGGGCGAGGAAAAUAAUUUGCAUAAUGGUGUUUGCAGCCUGGUGAAACUGAAAACCAGGCUGUGUGGGUGGGGCCUUGUUUCCUGACGUCAGCGCUGUCGCCCACGGACGCCCCCACCGACACGUGGCGCCCUCCCGCCGCCCACAGAGGCAGUGGGACGGCAAGGUGGAGGGGCCGGGGCACCAAGUGUGAAACCAGAAUAAACACCUGGAGCUCCGGCCGGCUGGAGCUCCCUGGUCUGACCCUGUGAAGAAACACACUGCAUCCUCUUUUCCUGAUGCCUGUUAGAGCCUGUCUCGGUGGGGUCUCAUCUUGUGUGGCAUGGCAAGUCUUGAAAAAUGGGAUCCAUCAUUUUUGAACAGUUGCUCCUUUUUUGAUCCCCCGAGAGUCAGUUUCUGAGUCAGCCUGAGUGCUCCAGAGCCUGACACCUGAGACCUGAGACAAGUGUAGCUCAGGGCCCACUGUUCGCUAGAGAAACGCUCAGAACCUCAAGGGUGUCAUAAAGGGAGCUCCCAGGACCACCACCCUUCACCUACUUGAUGAGUCCGCUGAAGUGCCGCGUGGCAUUUUUCGUUAGUAGUAAUUUGACAACUAUGUGAUCUUAGAGUUUCCGUCCCAUUUGGCUAGCUGACGUCUCUAAGUAGCAGAGUGAUUUUUGGGGGAUAAUACCAGACUGUUUUUGAUACAGGACUAAUUUGCUCUAAGUACCAGAUUUUCUACUGUAAUAUAUAGGUAUGUACUCCCGGUAGAGUUGUAAGAGUAGAAGCCUUUUGUAGCCAUGUUUCUUUUCACUUUGUCUUCAGCCAGCAGUUGGCCCAGGAUCCUUGCUGGUAGACAUGGGGACGUGUUCUGGGGGAGCGGUCCCCACCCUGGAGGUCCCUGAUCUCAGUGAUGUUCUCAGGGACUGAAAUCCACCUGCAUGUCAGCCACUGUAAACGACUAAUAACUGAUGGCCCUGGCAUCUGUGUAUGCUAUGAUCGAGGGGCUCUUUCAAUAUAAAUGAUCCAAAUUCUUUUAUAUUUAUAGCUAAAUUCAUAUUGUUUUUUUAAUUUCCAGAUAAUAAAAAUAUAACUACUCUUAUAACGUGUGUGUGGGGGGCUGGUGACUCAGGCUCAGAAGAUGAGCCCGAGACAGAAUUUGGUGCCAGGCAGGAGAGCUGCGAGGAGACGGCAGCACGCUGCCGGCAAAGAUGCUCUCGAGGAAUUUCUGGCUAUCGAUUGCGGUCGCUGCCCAUUUGGCCCCAGAAUGGACGUCAUGGUCCUACUUUUCAUUCUUCCAUAGUGGGUAUAGCUUUUCACCAUUGACUUCUUAUUUAAAAGUAUUUGUCUUAUGGAACACUGACAAGAAGGUCCUUUACACAGGUGCACUCCUAUUAGGCAUUUGUGGUGUUUGCACUGAAAACUUAGGGGUGAGGCCAAAAGCUAGGAGCCUGGGGGCUUUCUUUAGUUUACUUAAAAUUUUUAACUGUUCUGUUUUAUUUUUCUUGUUGCAUUUUGGGAGAAAGAGGAAAAACCAGUUUUAAAACUGGAAUUGGGCCGUUGCAAGUGUUUAUUUCCGCAAACGUUACCUGGAUGAUGAUGAUGUCUCAGGCAUCAUGCCACUGUAAGGAAUAGUGCACUUGUCCUUGGGAAGUUCACAGGGAACUUCCUGUGUUUGGAAGGGCAGACAGUUCUGAAAGAUAAUGUGAUAUCAACAUUUCUGUCUCCCAAGGGCCAAGUGUGUAUGAGGCUCUGGGCCAGGAUCAUUGUGUGAAUGAUCCCAUGUCAUCCUCUUACGAUCCAUGGGGGAGGUCCUAUUGUGAUCCCUGUUUUACAGAUGAGGAAAAUGAGGCACAGAGAGGUUAAGUAACUUGUCAAAGGUCGUACAGCAGGUAGGUGGCAGAGCCUGGAUUUGAAGCCAGACAGUUGAUCACAAAUUGCAUACUCUUAACUGCCCUGGUAUUAAACUAUACCAUGAGUGAAGCACUCUGGGAACACAGAUAACUCUGGGGCUUCUGUCUGCGGGUGUCCAGGGUGUGUUCAGGGAGGAGCCGAUAUUUAGCUGAGCCAGGAAGGGUUGGGGCUCCAGUGUUGGAUAAACAUGUAAGGUGGCUUUUUCUGCUAAUGACAGUAGAAGAAAAGUUUAAAACAGGGCCGUUUGCUCACAGCUAAAGACACAUUACAUUUUAAAGGACCCUGGUUAUUUUUCACCUUCUUAGAUCUCACCCCGCUGUCUUACGCAGUUAACGUUGGUGAGAAUGGCAUUCCUGCCCUACAUAGUAAGAUGUCACUUCUCAGACACGUAAUUUGGGGCAUAGAAUGAGUAAAAAUAUAACACUAAAAAGAUUAUUUCAUCAAGAUAUGCUGACCGGGGAUUUCACUUAUUGGUUCUGGAAGCCUCCCGAUAAGUCACAAAGAAAAUGCAUUCCGGAACUCUCUGACAGAGGUAGAAUUCACCCAAACGAUGCGGAGACAGGCUGUGGAAAACCCGGGCGCCCCUCCUGCCCUUGGGUGGCUUUUAGUUAGAAAAGCGUUUGUUUGGGGCUCCCUCGCACAGCCUUGCCUACAUCCUCCGGCAGCUGUCGGGGGAGGUGCUGCGUGCAUUCGGAGCCCCGAGAGGAGACUCAAGGCGCACGAAGUGGUCAGGGGUCCCGCGGAAAGGAAAGACGUGACUGAGCCUGGAAAGGCCGAGGAGAUGGAGGGAGAAGAGGGGCCAGCAGGGGCCACCAGACGGAGGCAGGAGUGGGCACCGGUGUGAGCGAGGGGACAGUCGGGCUGUCCUCCUGGAUGAGCGGUGGGAUUUUAUCUGCCUGAAAGCAGUGGCCAUGUUCUAGCCAUCUUUGUCCCCUUCCCUGUCCUCUCCUCUCCUCCCUCCCGUAUCCCAUGGCAUCUUACUGGUGCCUGUUACGGGCUGAAUUGUGUCUCACUGCAAAUUCAUAUGCUGACGUCCUAACCCCUGGUACCUUAGAAUGUGACUGUGUUUGGUGAUUAAGUUAAAAUGAGGUAAUUCCGGUGGACACUAACCCAAUAUGACUGGUGUCCUUGUAAGGAGAGGGGAUUAGGACACAGACACAUAUAGAGGAAACGCCAUGUGAGGACCCAGGGACAAGGCAGCCAUCUAUAAGCCAAGGAGAGAGGCCUUAGAAGAAACUAAACUUGCCAACAGCUUGAUCAGAGACUUCAAGUGAGAGAAAAUAAAUGUCUGUUGUCUGAGGCCCACAUCCUGUGGUACUUGGUUAUGGCGGCCCUAGCUAACUCCUGCAGCGCUCGAUGUAAUUUUGUUGAAGAAAAGCCUGGAUAGAUGGAUGGGAGGAAGCAAACGUUGCUUAGCUAGGGGGUGAGCGAACCAUAGAGGUCUUCCUCCACCUGGGCAGAGGCUCUAAAGUCAGCGUUGGUGGCAGUAAGGAGCACUGUAGGUGCUUGAGCAGGAGAAUUCUAUGGCCAAAGCAACGUUUCAGGAAGCCUGGUGUGGUGAGGCUCCAGACCUCUGAGCCAAUGGGAUGAACCAGGACUGGGAACCAUAGAAGGCCUGACAAGGGGCUAGGAGAUAACUGAUGGGCACUGGUGUAAUGAAGACGGUUCUCUCUGUCCCUUUAUGUCAGUAUUCUCUCCUGGAGGCAGACGAGGGCCUCUGAUGCACCGCGAAACUGGAAUUCUACCUGGAGACAAGCCCACAAAGGCUCCUAUCUGAUUGGAGAGAGCCCAGCUCCCCUCACUCUCCAAGGAAUUCGGAAUCCACACCCAUGGAGUCCCCACCAGAAUAACUGGGAGAUGAAACAGGAAGCUCUAUGACACACUUGAUCGAAAAUGACACAGACGUAGAAAAAUCAGGACUCCAGCACCUCUACCUGCUGUCGGCUGCUGGAAGGCAGGUGACAGCUUUGCCCUGGGACCUGAUUCUAGCUGCCGUGGACUCCAAGGGCCUCCGCAUUCGCUGAUGAUGUGUCUGCGAUAUUGAGGUCGUGGUCUAGUCUGGUCGGUUUCCUAUUUAUCUGGCGAGUCUCUAUGUGUCUUAAUCCCUUUUCCUCCAUUAAAAGCAAAACGAAAGAAAAAUGAAUUGUUUGUUAUUAGCUAUAUUUAAACACUAAUUUAAAGGAUACCAAAUGGCCUUUGAGAUUAAUUUCUGCAGGACCACAAGUAAGCCCUGCCAUAACCCCACUGGUCAUGAUGACAUCUUUAGAAGAGUGUUGAACUUGAAUCUCUUAUUACUCAGCCUUGUUUGCCCUGCUUUUUCCUCUCCCCUUCUAGAAGACCUCUAGAAGACCUCCCAGUCUGUCCCCAGCACCUGGUACUGGGUCAGUAAUGGCAUAUUGACAUUUAAGAAAACACUGGAAGACAUUUGGAAGUCUCUUUCC